UACGUAGGGGGCAAGCGUUGUCCGGAAUCAUUGGGCGUAAAGAGCGUGUAGGCGGUCCGGUAAGUCAGCUGUGAAAGUCAAGGGCUCAACCCUUGAAAGCCGGUUGAUACUGUCGGGCUAGAGUCCGGAAGAGGCGAGUGGAAUCCCGGUGUAGCGGUGAAAUGCGCAGAUAUCAGGAGGAACACCGGUGGCGAAGGCGGGUCUCUGGGCCGAUACUGACGCUGAGGAGCGAAAGCGUGGGGAGCGAACAGG
rnacentral:rRNA from 1 species